CGGGUGAGUAACGCGUGAGGAACCUGCCUCAAAGAGGAGGACAACAGUUGGAAACGGCUGCUAAUACCGCAUAAGCCCACGGCUCGGCAUCGAGCAGAGGGAAAAGGAGCAAUCCGCUUUGAGAUGGCCUCGCGUCCGAUUAGCUAGUUGGUGAGGUAACGGCCCACCAAGGCGACGAUCGGUAGCCGGACUGAGAGGUUGAACGGCCACAUUGGGACUGAGACACGGCCCAG
rnacentral:rRNA from 1 species